rfam:Crassostrea gigas strain 05x7-T-G4-1.051#20 contig382, whole genome shotgun sequence.
GCCUGGAUAGCUCAGUGGUAGAGCUCCUGACUAAAGUUACAGGGGUCCCUGGUUUGAUUCCUGGUCCAGCCA